rnacentral:rRNA from 3 species
CACCCGUUCCCAUACCGAACACGGAAGUUAAGCUUCUCAGCGCCGAUGGUAGUUGGGACUUUGUCCCUGUGAGAGUAGGACGUUGCCAGGC